UACGUAGGGGGGCAAGCGUUGUCCGGAAUUAUUGGGCGUAAAGAGCGUGUAGGCGGCCAGGUAGGUCUGCUGUGAAAACUCGAGGCUCAACCUCGAGAUGUCGGCGGAAACCAUCUGGCUAGAGUCCGGAGGAGGAGAGUGGAAUUCCUGGUGUAGCGGUGAAAUGCGCAGAUAUCAGGAAGAACACCCGUGGCGAAGGCGGCUCUCUGGGACGGUACUGACGCUGAGACGCGAAAGCGUGGGGAGCGAACAGG
rnacentral:rRNA from 1 species